GGUGAGAUGGCCGAGCCGGCUGAAGGCGCUCCCCUGCUAAGGGAGUAUGGGGUCAAAAACUCCAUCGAGGGUUCGAAUCCCUCUCUCACCGCCAUUU
rnacentral:tRNA from 1 species